UCGUAAACAUGUUUAAAACAAGUUUUAAAUUAAAAUAGGUAACAGACUUCUUGCAAUCACCAACAAACUGUACAACAGGGUACUGUGUUAAAGGGCUCAUAUCAUGCAAAAUCUACUUUUUAGACAUUUUGGAGCGUUCCUAUGACUCUAUGGGUCACAUAUACACACACUGAGCACGGUAGAAAUGCAUUUCCUGCUUUUUUCACAUUUUGAAAACGUAAAUUUUCUCACCCAAUGAAAACAGACCACGACCUACUCUGAGGCCGUGUCCCAGUUGUCGUCACCUUGGUCGGAAGUUCUCCCUGCAAAUCCUGAACCACCACCCCCACAAUGAUCCCGAACCAAAACUGGACUUCCGCCAUUUCCCCCCUCUCACUCACCGUGAACAGACCAGCACGGCAGCGCCCAAGUCCUCCCAUAGAAAUAGUUCGGUUCUUGGGUGUUCUAACCAACACCAAAGUCUAUUCACUUUAACAAGGGAUCAACAAGUGAGGAUUUGUGGGUCACUUUUAUUUUUAACGGACCGGUGCCAGAAACACUGCCUCAGCAUUUAUACUUACUCACUGAAGUAAGUACAUGCUUGAUAUUUAUAAUGUUUUAAAAUGUUAGUUUGUCCGUUUAAAUGUAGUAACCUAUGUGUGGGGCAAGUUACUAGCUAGCUAUGCUAACGGCUACAGCCAGUCGACCGAGCCUUUGUCCCCUUCAAAUGUGCUCAUGUGGGCUCCUGCAGCCACACCUGUGUGGAGAAAAGCUAAUGUUUAUCGUAUUGGCAUCGAGCGACCACAGCCAGGGAGUGGUGGGUCUAGCUCGCUGUAGUAAGUACGUGCUUGAUACUUACUAUGUUUGUUGGUCUGUUUAAAAUGUGUAACCCACAUGUGAGACAAGCUAAUGCUAUCGGCAUCGAGCGGCUACAGGCAGGGAGCGGUGGGUCUAGCCUCUGUCCUUUUUCUGUAAUCGCAUACACCUGCGGGGAACAGCUGAUCGUUAUCGCCCUUCCAGCGGCGACAAGCAGGAAGCGGUGGAUCUAGCUCGCUGUAGUAAGUUUGUGCUUGAUACUUGUGAUAUCUAAAUAUGUUAGUUAUGUCUGUUUAAAAUGCAGUAACCCACAUGUGAGACAAGCUAAUCGCUAGCGUCGCUAACGGCUACAGUGAGUCAACCGAGCCUUUGUCCCUUUCAAAUGUGCUACUCUGAGUUGGUGCAAUCACACACCUGUGUGGGGAACAGCUAAUAGCGAUGGGCCUUCGAUCGGCGACAGGCAGGAAACGGUGGAUCGAGCUUUUGUCCUGUUGACGUGCUGCCGCUCCUGUUUGUGUGUUGCGUUAGCCGUUAGCAUGCCUUUAGGCCUUUGCACUUUAGAGCUACAGCUGGUCGAUCGCUACAAAAAGAACCUGCAGAUGAACGCGGUUAUGUUUGUUAUUACCCCGUCCUGUGUCACAGCCUAAAUCAACUUGUGAUUUGGGGUUAUGUCAUUGUUCUAUCAAAUUCUAACAUGAUUAGUUGGAAUGAUUACUGUGUUGUGUUGCAAGCUUAGUUGCUAAUUAGACACAUCUCUACAAUAACUGCUGCUUAUCUGGUCAGUAACCUAUAGCUUGUACCAUAGCCAUUAUAUUUGUAGGACCAAUACAAUUUACAGUAAAUGUAACAGUCUUUUCUAUACUGUAGGAGGGCAAAUCCCAGUUACCUACAUGCAAGGAGGCUGUCAAACAGAGAAAUCACUGCAGACUGUUGGUACACAGGCAUCUGCUGCCCAGCUCAGGAGUGAAGGUAUGUAAGUUUGUAUGUACCAACAGUAAGAUAGGCAAUAGAAGAUUUUAAUUGGUAUAUACUGUUUAGAUUUUAUAUUUGAAUUGUAACAACUGUUUAUCUGUUGUUUUAGCACAGACAGGCCUGUCCUCUUGUUUGAUUUAAUUUUUUUUUCUGGUAUUGUGUGUUCUUACAUUAGAGAAGGUUUUGACCUACAUAAUAAUGAACAUUUCACUAAUCUACAAUUCUGAUUGCAGUACCUUUUUGUUUUGAUGAGGUGAUGGUGAGGACAGCCACAGCUUCCAUCUGGGCCCUGCAAAAGCUUCUGACCUCAAACCCCCAGACUUCUUAAUUAACUCAGUAACCUAUACAUUGCACAUUGGAGUGUGAAGGUAACAGUUUGUUCUAGCUUUGGAGUAGUGGUGCAUUUUUUUGGUUUACAAUAAAGUUGGCUUUAACUAUUA